rnacentral:lncRNA from 1 species
UUUUUUUUUUUUUUUUUUUUUAGGUGUGUCCCGCAGGGAGUGGACCCCGCAGACUAUUCACCACCCUCAGCAACUUGCUGGCAGCAAGGUUCGAACCAGGGACCUGAGGCUCCAUCUUCAGCAACCUCAACUACCAGACCAAGCCCCUGAGGGCGACCUCAAGAAAACCUAAUUCCUGCAUAUGACAGUUCUGUUCUGAAAUCAAAAGGAAGGAAAAAAGUUCACUCUUGAGGCUAAAGGACAGUCCAGACGAAAGAAAAAUUGUUUUUGUCUAUUGUGGCAAAUGAAAAAUACUUUAUCAGCAGACCUCACACACUCUGACAUGAGAUAGUCACCUCACACACUGUGAAAUGAGAUACUAUUUGGCCCAAAGGACUAGAAAUAAAAGUGCAUUUACACAAAGGGCCAGCUAUGGCUCCCUUUAGCUGUCAACAAGACUAGAUAAAGAAAACAUUUUACAAUUGAGUCAAGAAAAGUAAACUACAAUUUACAUUCUCCUUCUAUAAACAACUAUUUGGCUAAAAAAAUUAACAAAUAUAAACCACAACCAACAUGCUCUAUGAUGAGCAACCAUUUGGCCAAAUAAUUAAUAAGUAGACCAUCUGGAAAUGAAUAAAGCCUAGGUAUGAGAACCAGUAACUUAAAAGAGCAGGCAAGGAUAUAGAGAUCCCCAGAGUAAUAUUCCAAGAAGGUAGAUUUCUUCUCUCAGUCUGGACUAAAGAACAAAGUCUACUUCAAUCCUUAUAUCACCAUGAAAAGAGAAGGGGGAGUCAACAACAAACUAUGUCACCUUAUAGGGAUUUUAGGCUGGAUUUUGAAUUUUUAUCUGCUUAGUAUCCUCAUAGUCAUGAGAGAACUUAAACUAUGAAAGCUCUUGCUUGGCUAUUGGAGAAAGUGGGAAAGAAGGCAUUCUGUCUCUUGGUAUGGAACCCCACAUUCACCUGUAAUCUGAAACAUUUUCAAGUAUGACAAUUAAAAUACAGAGCUUUGAGAGCAUAGAGAACCAAUAUGGGAUUCGCUACAACAACCCAAUUUUCGAUCGGCAUUAGGAGUACACAAUUCUUCCCUUCAUGUAUGGAUACUCAUAAGAAAAUCUUCCUGACUUGAUAUAUUAUACAGAUGGAACAUUGGGGGCACCCGUGGAUGGGGUUUUCUUGUUUUCUUCGUUUUUUUUUUUUUGGGGGGGGGGGGGGGAGCACAAAGAAAAGAAGGAAAGAAAUAUUAAAAAGUUUACAAAGAGAAAGAAGGAAAACAAGUCUUUUAGUAAUUUCCCAUAUCAUAUCUCAAAUUCCAAACAUCCAGGUAGCAGGACAUUUCCCUUUCCUCAAUAAAUUUACUAUCAAAGGAAACCCAAACUAAAUAAAGGCACAAACUUUUCUCUAAGAAAAACAAAACAGCAAAUGUGCACAUCCAACUAACUCUAUGGUUUUGUUAUAAAAAUAACUCCAUCAUCCUUUCAUACAGCUGCUUGCUUUCAACAAGAGUUCGUUCAGAUUUGAUAGCAAUGUAUUUCUUUACAAAUACUUUGCUUUUAGGCCUCACUAGGUUUAAACUUUUCAGAAAAGCUAUAUCUAUUUAUGCUUCCCCUACAAUCAUUGGAAAUUUAUUCUACCAUGAAAUUAAACCCCUAGCACUCCAAAAUGGUUCUUGACAACAAGAAAUUUGGGCUCAUCUCUCACCAAGGCUUGACAAGGCACAAUAUGGCAAUCCAAUCCCAAAAAUUCCAACUUUCUCAAAAAAACUAAAUAAACAUCCACUGCUUGACCUAAUACUGGAUAUUGAAAGAUAACACUUCAACAAGAACAUCUACUGAAUAUCUGUUUACUUGGGAUUUCCAACAAGAAGCUGAAAACCCACGAUCAUAUAUUGCAUAAAAGCUAACAUCUUGUUGAAAUUCCUAACCACACCCAUCUUAGAAGCAACUAUACCAUAGCUGCAACUUUGCCCCCUGGUAGGCAUGAAUGCCAACCAUCAUUUGCUUUUCCUCUUUAAUUCUGAACCAUAUAAGUUCUAUAACUAGAUUCAAAACCAAUUUCUUCUGUGUUAAAACUGAAUGCCAACACCGCACUCUUUUAGUUCCCAAAUUAAAAUACCCAUUAACCAAUGCCUUUUACUGAUUAAUUCAAGCAUAAAUCUCCAUAAAAUCAUUCAUUUCUUGGAUCUCUUGCACAUUGUUUUAUACUAGCUUUUAACCCAGAAUUUCCUUCACACUUAAACCAUAUUUUCACAAUUUUCUGCCAAUAAAAUACAUGCAAAGAUAACAGAAAAUACAUUGACUGAGUGGGAUAUAUAUACAUAACCACGUUGUAUGAGUCCAUUGUGUACAGAACCGGCAAUUGAAUCAAAUCAUUAACAGAUCACAUAAAAAGGAUAAUGUACAUAAUCUCAUCAGCAAUCAAUUAAGACGAAAUUGAAACCACAAUAAAACAAAGGUAGAAAAUCAUAGACUAAAAUCCCUUAAAAAUUAAUGGAUUAAUUUCAUUAUUUUCAGUUUACCUCAGCCAUUUGACGAGACGGGAUCGAUCGAAAAUGAUGUGAAAAUGAGACAGAGCACUUUCUUCUGGUCGGCGGGAGAGAGUGUUGGAAACUAGAAUUGUUACGUUUUGUUUCAAUGAUUAGUAGCAGUAGAAUUAGCUCAGAUUAGUUUGCAACCCUUAAUAUUUUCUUAGUUUUUACUUUUCGCCCUUCACCUUUUAGUUUUUGACACAUAGCCCCCAACUGUCUUACAAAAGCUCUGGUAAAAAUAUUUUUUUUUCCCAAAAUAAGGUUACAUAUACCUUACAAUUGCAAGAUCAGUACAACAAAUUAGUUGUCAUUUAAUUUACAACUAAUACCCGCAAUUGAUUUAGAGAAAUGCCAAACUAGAAAUAGAGCAAUCUCAUAAUUAACUUGUAUACAACUUAUACACUUAAUUUAAUUUAAUGGAAAAGGCAUUCUUCAUGCGUUUGUUCAAGAAAAGUAAAUCAUGAGGGAAAAGAGCAAAAAGAAAAUGAGAAGGCAAAGGUGAUUUAUGCAUUAUUCCUUGGUUUGGCAGUUUUUUUUUUUUUUAAGUCACAAGUAUAUUAGUAGAAUUUUCAAAACUAUGACAAACGGGUCAUUUUGAAUCUCUUGCUCCCAAUUUAUGCAUAGGAAAAUAGUUCUUGAAAUACAUUUAGCUCCAAAUAUAGUGGUUAAGAAAAAUUAAGGGAAUAAGUGGAGCGCUGAUUUUAAAUAUAAGGGAAUAAGUGGUUAAGAAAAAUUAAGACUACGCGUGGGUAAAAAUUGAAGAUAUAUUAGAAGUAUCAACAAAACGUGUUUAUUUUGCAUGUUGGAGACACACAACUCUAGACUUUUUAGCCAAUUUCCUAAUGUGUGGAUUUUUUGGUAUGAAGUUAUAUAAGGAUGGGAAAAUUUGGAGAUUAGUUAUUGUUUUUGGCAAUUGAUGAACAACAAAGAGGUAAAAGAGUGAUAAACCACAUAAAUAUGAGGAAAUUAUAAUGGUAAACGCAAAAUUAGGAGGAAAACUUAUAAUUAAGCUUUCUCUAAUCAAUUAACUGUCUAUUUUAGGUAGCAUAUCUUUUAUUCUUGCUCCCACAAAAAAAAAUUUUUUUGUUGUAGAAUAGCUCUAAUUCUCAUUACUUAAAUCCAGCCAAAUCCCUAUAAUACAUAUAUUUAAAAUAUCAUAUCUCUAUAUUUUUUUCUCAUAAGUUGCAAUGAUAAACCUCUUCGAGUAUUCCUAUCUUCCACAUGUUUAGGUGAAAUUUCUCUGAUAGGCUCCGGCUUUUUCCGUUUAAUAGGUCUCCAUAUUUAAGAGGAAGUUUGGGUUUUAUAUUGUUAGAAUUUCAAUUUUUGCUAUCCAUUCUCUUAAAAGAAGUUAAAUCAUAUUAUUAACGAUAAUUUUUAAUGCUUUUAGUUUACAAGAAGAUGAUGGCUAACAAGUAGCAGCAUGUUCUUCAACUAAUGAUCAAAUUACGAGACAGUGAUACUUUAUUACAAGGUACCACUACAUCAGUAGAUGUGUUACUGCUGUUUCUAAAAAUUGAUAUGGAAUUCAGGUUAGUGAAACCCUAUAUGUCCACCGAUGCAAAAGUUCAAAGGUGUCUCUAAACCAAAGUUUUCUUUUGUACACUCUCUCUUUUUUCUGAUCAUUAAAAGCAUGAAAGUUUACGUGUAAAAAAAGUUUUUAUUACAUGUCAAAUAUCCUUAUGAUGAGUGAACCCUACAUGCUUAUUUACUCAUCCCCAAACCACCAAUCCUAAAAUGUCUCAACCCCCGAAAAAUUGCAGUUGAAUUCGCAUCACCUAAAAAAUAGUAGACGGCCUCUUUCAUACACGUUGACUGACUAAGUAAAAUGCUAAAAGAGAGAGAAAAGGAAGAAAUGUUCAACAGAGUCCAGUAAUAAUACUUCGUAAUUAAACCACCUUCAUUGAUUUGUAAACCAUCUUGGAAAGACCAUUGUUGUUCCAUACUGCAUAUUUGCUCAUGGCUGAGAAUUCUGCUCCCCCAGAAGAAGUUGUAGUGCCUGUUCCAGAAGAAAAAAAUGAAGCCAAAGAAAAAGAAGUCGUGGUGACUAUUCCUGAAGCAAAAAAUGAAGCCGAAGAAAAAGAAGUUGCAGUGCUUAUUUCUGAAGCAAAAAAUGAAGCCAAAGAAAAAGAAGCUAAAGAAAUCCCUGAUGAUACUACCACCACUGCUGCUGCUGCCACUACUAAUACUAGUGUGGCAGCUAAAACAGAUAAAAUGAAGAUUAUUGUGCUUUCAUUAACCGUACUUUCAUUUCUUCUUUCCUUUCCAAUCCUCUUUUCAAUCGCUUGGUUGCUGUACUUGAGACAAUAUGACUGUGAAAACCUUCUUGACUUGCCAAAGUUACAACUUGUGAUUGUCAUUGGUCUAGCAAUUGUCUUCUUUGUGAGCAACUUUGUAGUGAAAUUUGGAAGCCGGUUUCCUAUGCUUGGACUUCUCUUAGUUGUGGUGCCACUGAUUUUGAUGCUGAUUGUUGGUCUUGGACUUGAGGGUGCUUUUGACAUGGAAGCUCGUACCAUACCCGGUACUCCUAGAUGGCUUGAGUUCAGGGUGGAUAAUGACUACAAUUGGAAGGAUAUCAAAUCCUGCUUGUAUGCUACAACGACAUGUAGAGAGUUGGCGUUAAGGUCUUAUACCACCAAAUCCUUUGACUUCACAGCAAGCAAAUUAUCAUCGAUUGAGGUACUAAGCUAAUAUAAAUGUCACAUGAAAUAGUAUACGUGUGCUUGAGUAGACAUUACAGACAAAGAAUUGUUUGGCUGGUCGAAUAUAUAUAUAGGUAUAUGUAAAAUAUAAAUCACUAGUUUUGCAUAUGGCAUAUCCUAAAAACAUGUUGAAUGCUAUUGGCUUAGUUUUGCAUGAGAAAAUUAGUUUUGAAACUAAUUUCUACAUUAGCAGAAUACUUCUUUUUCAAUGGUUCAUACACAUGUUAUUAGGCAGUGUUUGAUACUUUAAUUCAACCAACAACUUAAAAAAAAAAAUUAUGAUCGAAUUUUUUUCAAUAAAUAGUGUGCUUAGUUUGAGUGAUUUGUGUUUUCUUUGGUCAUAUCACUUCUACAAUUGCACCUCUAUUUACAUUUUACAUUUACUCACUGGACUGUUUUUUACAUUGGCGCAAUUGUCUAGUCUGGUUGUUGUCUGCCGCCAACAAGCUGUGGAAUGGAGUACGUGAAUGCCACAUUCUGGAGGAAAGAAGAUUCAACACUGGAUGCGUCCAACCUAUUGGAGAGGGAUUGUGAUCUAUGGAAGAAUGAUGAAACCAUUCUGUGCUACAACUGCCAAGCCUGUAAAGAUGGAUUUCUCAAACCAUUACUUGGUAAAUGGCAGAACAUUGGGACCUUCCUCGUUGUCAUGGCUGCUCUGCUUUCAGUCUCGCAUCUGUUGCUUUUUAUUUCUACAAUGUGGGAGCAACUUCGAGGAUACCAUAAAAGCAAAUUAAUCGCACAUUCAUUUUAACUGACUAAGAGUUAUUAGAUGAGGUUUUGGAUUUGCAAGCUAUUUCAUCCUUUGUUCUUUACUUUGUUAUACAUCUUUUUCGUGUAUAAUCGGGGACAUCUUUGAUGCUAUGGUCAUCUUGGUUUUCGGUUUUUCACCAUCCCUUGACAGAAGCAGAAGCUACCAAUUUUUUCCAUGCUAUCAAGCUCUUCUUUGAUUGUCAUAUGGGCAAAAGUAUGUUUUGGAUUAUAUACCACGAAUUUUUAAGGAGUCGUAAGUUAUCAUUUCCUGAACUCCAAAAUCUUGGUUUCAUCAGGCAAAUCACACUGACUAAUUAGGAGUGGUCAGUUAUAAAACCUCCACCAUUAGGUGCCAAUACGACAAAUUUGUUUUAUCAUACACAAGCCAAUUAUCCUUAUUAAGCUUUACCAAAACCAAAACUCUCCUCCUCCCAUCCUGAAUUCAUGCACAGUGCAGACUAGGAUGAAACAAGAUGCAAGGAAAACCACAGGAUUGAAGAGACUGCAUCUCUUCUGAGUAUUCAAUGACAUGAAUAUCAGCAUCCAUGGGCGUCUCUUGAUUGAUAAGUACUUUCUUCAAGGUGAUUAAUAUAUUCCUUGCUAUUUUCCAAUCCCAAACCUUAUUAUGCCCCAACCUAACCCCAACAGAGGGAGACCAAGCGGGAGAAUAGAAGGGAGGAGACAUAAGUCAAAAUAAACUACACAAACAUAUCUGGACUGCAAAAGGACAAUAAAAGAGGAAAGCUAUAUUAUACAGAAGCUAACAACAUGCUACAAUUCUUGUAGUAAAAUUUGGCUAAAGCCAUGAAACAGGUUACGAUAACUUACAAGGAAUUCUCAGAGUUAACGAGUACAAGCCUACAAGCUAGUAUUUGGUAAAUCAUCAACACAAGAUUCUACUAAGUUGCAUACGAAGGGACACCAGGAUCCAGUUUUGGCUGAUACAUUCACCUCCGAGCAUGCGAGGCAUCAUAUGUUCCCGUCCAUGAAGGAUUCCCAGCAGCACCAGCAACAGCUCCUGCUACAGCUCCAACUCCAUCAGGAGCACCUGCAGUGACGGAACCACCAUACGGGAUCAUUCCCGGGGAUAUAGGCCCAGCACCCAUCGGAACAGCAG